rnacentral:rRNA from 1 species
AGUGAACGCUGGCGGUAGGCCUAACACAUGCAAGUCGAACGGCAGCACAGUAAGAGCUUGCUCUUACGGGUGGCGAGUGGCGGACGGGUGAGGAAUACAUCGGAAUCUACUUUUUCGUGGGGGAUAACGUAGGGAAACUUACGCUAAUACCGCAUACGACCUACGGGUGAAAGCAGGGGAUCUUCGGACCUUGCGCGAUUGAAUGAGCCGAUGUCGGAUUAGCUAGUUGGCGGGGUAAAGGCCCACCAAGGCGACGAUCCGUAGCUGGUCUGAGAGGAUGAUCAGCCACACUGGAACUGAGACACGGUCCAGACUCCUACGGGAGGCAGCAGCGGGGAAUAUUGGACAAUGGGCGCAAGCCUGAUCCAGCCAUACCGCGUGGGUGAAGAAGGCCUUCGGGUUGUAAAGCCCUUUUGUUGGGAAAGAAAAGCAGCAGGUUAAGACCCCGCUGUUCUGACGGUACCCAAAGAAUAAGCACCGGCUAACUUCGU